UCAUUUUUUGCUUUUUUAUUAUUAUUUUUUUUUUCUUCAGUUUUUUGUCUUUUUCAUUUUUUCUUUUGUUUUUUUUUUGUUCCUUUUUUAGCUUUAUCGUUUUUUCUCCUUUUUUUUGUUCCUUUUUGCUUCUUUUUUUUAGUUUUUUGUCUUUCAAUUUUUUUUAUGGCUUUUUUGUUUAAUUUUUUAUUUUCAACACUUUUUUUCUAUUUUUUUUCAUUUAUAUAUGUUUUUUAAUAUUACCUUUAUUCACAUCAAUGAUUAUUUUUUCUUACAACUAUAAUUACUUAACCAAAUAAUUAAAAUUACAAAUUUUCGUAAGUAAAAAAUAAAAAUUUUCAAAAAAAUAAGUAAUAAUUUUAAAAUAUUACAUUUCUUCAUAUGCAUAAUUACUUUUUAUUAAGACAAUAGUUACUUUUAAUAAAUAUAAAACAUACAUUUGUU
rnacentral:lncRNA from 1 species